rnacentral:pre_miRNA from 1 species
UAUAUACUCCCUCCAUCCCAAAAUUCGUGUCUUAGAUUUGUCUAAAUACGGAUGUAUCUAGUUACAUUUUAGUGUUAGAUACAUCCGUAUCUAGACAAAUCUAAGACAAGAAUUUUGGGACGGAGGGAGUAUUUC